ensembl:snRNA U6 U6 spliceosomal RNA
GUGCUUGCUUCAGCAGCACAUAUAAUAAAAUUUGAAUGAUACACAGAAGACUAGCAUGGUCCCUGCGCAUAGAUGAUAUGCAAAUUCAUGAAGCAUUCCAUAUUUUU